rnacentral:rRNA from 1 species
CACGUAGGGCGCAAGCGUUGUCCGGAAUUAUUGGGCGUAAAGAGCUCGUAGGCGGUCUGUUGCGUCCGCUGUGAAAACUCGGGGCUUAACCCCGAGCCUGCAGUGGAUACGGGCAGACUAGAGGUAGGUAGGGGAGAAUGGAAUUCCCGGUGUAGCGGUGAAAUGCGUAGAUAUCAGGAGGAAUACCGAUGGCGAAGGCAGGUCUCUGGGCUGACACUGACGCUCAUGCACGAAAGCGUGGGGGGCAAACAGG